GCUAUCGCGCUUUACUUGUUUUGUAUCUAGAAUGCGAAGACGCUGCUGUUGAUAGUAUACUUUACGCAAUUAUUGAGAGCAGUUGUAGUAAUAUCAGUAGCAGUUUUAUUCAUUUAACUCAUAAGAAUUAACAAUAUAAGAAUUAAAAUAAUAUACAGUAGUUAUGCAGUAACGCCUGUAAAUUGUGGUACUACGCAUUUCAUCCCGGACUUUUGGCAUAUGCAUAAGCGCCUUUUAUCAAUAAUGAGUGCAUUGGCGGGAUCCUAUGAAGAGCAAUGGAUAAACAUAGCAGUUUGAGAGAUAUGUGGUGAGGAGCACGACGCCUGUCUUUUGACCAUCCUACCACGGGAUCAAAACAUGUUGCAAACUUUCAGGCGGGAUGCUAUGAAAAGCAAUGUGGUUGGUGAAUGCUAUGGAAAUCAGUUAUUAUCUGACUCUUUAUGUUGUGAAUAUACAAACCCCACGAACUAACUUACGAAAUUACGAUUAAUCCAUCUCUAUCUCACAUGUAAAGACUACGCGUGUGAAUGCAUUAACCAUCCUCGUCACAUGAGGUGGACGAAUCUCCGAAAAUAGACAAAAUUUCCAGCUGAAGUGGCAGGGCUCGCUUGCGAGCGGAAUUAUGGUCCAAUAUAAAAUUGUUAUUGUUGUCAGCUCAUUGAGUAGGCUAGAAGAAACAGUACCAAUUGCAACAUACUUCGGAAAAUCCUCAAGCUUCGCUUCGUAUAAAUCGGAAUAUCCAAAUACACUUACCAAUCUUGCAUACCGUAAGAUAUUGCAUACGUCCACCAGACUAAACAACAUAGCAACAUAUUGAUCAAAUUGUAGCUUGAGCAUGCACCAUUUCAUAGAGACAAGCUAUUUAAGGCAAUGAAGAUUGACGUCACUUCCUACCUGUUCUGGUCUCAAUCAAAGAUCUCGAGCUUUUCGGCUUGAGGGGUCAGCAACAAAAUUCCGACUCGAAAUACAAUUGCAAAUACGAAUUACGCGAGAAAUUCUCUGAAAUAUUCCCGUUCUUUUCAAAUCAAUUACAAUUAAGUUUCCGGUUUAAGAUUUAUAUUUUAUUCACUUACUUUACUUUAUAGAGUACACGUAUAUCUACAACUAUGCUAGAUUUUUAAUUAAAUUUAUACUUAUUAAU